CCUACGGGAGGCAGCAGUGGGGAAUAUUGGACAAUGGGGGCAACCCUGAUCCAGCCAUGCCGCGUGUGUGAAGAAGGCCCUCGGGUUGUAAAGCACUUUCAGUGAGGAAGAACGCCUGGUGGUUAAUACCCAUCAGGAAAGACAUCACUCACAGAAGAAGCACCGGCUAACUCCGUGCCAGCAGCCGCGGUAAUACGGAGGGUGCGAGCGUUAAUCGGAAUUACUGGGCGUAAAGCGCGCGUAGGUGGCUUGAUAAGCCGGUUGUGAAAGCCCCGGGCUCAACCUGGGAACGGCAUCCGGAACUGUCGAGCUAGAGUGCAGGAGAGGAAGGUAGAAUCCCCGGUGUGGCGGUGAAAUGCGUAGAGAUCGGGAGGAAUACCAGUGGCGAAGGCGGCCUUCUGAACUGACACUGACACUGAGGUGCGAAAGCGUGGGUAGCAAACAGGAUUAGAGACCCUGGUAGUC
rnacentral:rRNA from 1 species